rnacentral:lncRNA from 1 species
GGAGGCAACAUUAGGUUUUUCUUCCAUUUCUCCAUUUCUUUGUAUAAUAAACUUUCAGAGUUUAGACUGCUUCUAGGAUAUCUCUUCGUCUUCCUCACAUUGCUUCUACCAGCAGGUAUGUUUUUAUCAAUUCUGCCCAUAUUUUUUGCUAUGCAUCUGAUAUAGAAACAUUCUCUCCUUCUUCGACUUCAAUUUGGUUGUUUUCUAUUUAUUUCUCUUCUUUUUUCCUGCUCUUUCAAUUAGUUCCAACCCACAUGCAAAAAAAUUUCUCGAGAUCAAUGGCUUCUCGAUCUUAGUCCGCUGCUGAUACCGAUAUGGGUAUUAAGCCUAAUUAAAAGGAAGAAAAUUUUGGGUAUAGUAUUAUAGUGCUUAAUAAAGUUUGUAAUUCUUCGGUUCGUCGUCUUCUUUUGUUUUAUCCUCUGUUUCGUCACUUUUACUGGUUCAUUUUUUUACCUGUAACUAUAGUCUUAAUCAAUUGGGAUUUUGCAAUUUUGGCCUACGAUGUUAAAUUGGGCUCAGUUUGGAUAGUAUUUGUCAAUCGUGUUUUGAUAGUUGGAGCUUAAUCUUUCCCUUAUGAAUCGAAAGAGCAAGGCUUCUAAUUAACUUCUCUGCUCUUCGGAACAGGCCUAACUGAUCAAUCACCUUGUGCAGAGGAGCACAUAGCUAUAUUUAAAUCGAGCAAUAAAAAUACAUUUUAAACUCGAAGCGUGCUGAGUUUUGGAUUUUUUGGUUUUCUCGGUUCUUUGCAUACUUCUCGAUUUUGCAAUUUCGUGGCAAAUGUAUACGCUAAAUUCGCCAAGUCUUAAUUUAUGGUUUUUAUUUAUAAAAUUAUUUGCGAGGCACCUUAUCUUUCCCUAACUGGUAGAGCCAAUAUGAUCAAACUGGUUAUUGGCUAGUCUGCUUCUAACUCUUAGGUUGUUUUAACUUUUCAGGUUUCUCCUCUAUUGCAGUUUUUGUGAUCCAUGUGGUUGUUGUGUAUUUGUGUUAUUCAGUAGUGUUUCAAUCAUAAGGUAAAUUUUCUUACCAACUUCUUACUUUAAUAAAGCUUUUGAUAUCGUCAUCAGUAUGCUGCCCCUGAAACUACAACAAAAACAAUAAUGUUUCUAUUUAAACUGAAAGGAAGUGAAAAGCAACCUUAAUCUUUUCAUCAUUCUAAGAAAGAAAGUUUCGCUUGUUAUUGUAAAAAUAUUCCUUUCAAGUUCAAAUUUGAGUUUGUUUUAAAAGUUCAGUUGGUAUUUUCUUACUAAUAACUCUUCUUCAUUUCAUAUUUUCACACCCCUGUUUUGUCUGCUUGAUUAUUGCUUUGUGUCAGCUUCUCCCCUUCAUUUCUUUUUUCUCUGGUCAGUAGAUUCUGUUUGAUUUCUGGAUUUCUCCAUUUGCUUUUUGAUUUUUGGCCUCUGUUGUGCCUAUCACGAUUUAUUCUUUUUAUUAUUGCAGUUCUUGUGAUCCGUUGUGGUGGUUGUGUACUUCUGUUAUACAUAUAUUCUAGACAAAGUAUCAUAUUUCCUGAUGGUUGGGUGUAAUAACAAUUGAUUUAGCUGCACCUUUAGACAUAGGAUUUCUGCUCAGCUAGAAAGAUGCAAUAUACAGUAAUUAAUAGCUGACAAAUACAUUAAGCUU